rnacentral:rRNA from 1 species
CACGUAGGGCGCAAGCGUUGUCCGGAAUUAUUGGGCGUAAAGAGCUCGUAGGCGGUCUGUUGCGUCGGCUGUGAAAACCCGAGGCUCAACCUCGGGCCUGCAGCCGAUACGGGCAGACUAGAGUUCGGCAGGGGAGACUGGAAUUCCUGGUGUAGCGGUGAAAUGCGCAGAUAUCAGGAGGAACACCGGUGGCGAAGGCGGGGUCUCUGGG